rnacentral:misc_RNA from 1 species
GAUGAAGAACGCAGCGAAAUGCGAUAAGUAAUGCGAAUUGCAGAAUUCAGUGAAUCAUCGAAUCUUUGAACGCACAUUGCGCCCGCCAGUAUUCUGGCGGGCAUGCCUGUUCGAGCGUCAUUUCAACCAUCAAGCCCCCGGCUUGUGUUGGGGACCUGCGGCUGCCGCAGGCCCUGAAAACCAGUGGCGGGCUCGCUAGUCACUCCGAGCGUAGUAAUACAUCUCGCUCAGGGCGUGCUGCGGGUUCCGGCCGUUAAAAGCCUUAUUUACCCAAGGUUGACCUCGGAUCAGGUAGGAAGACCCGCUGAACUUAAGCAUAUCAAUAAGCGGAGGA